CAUCUACUGUUGUGGAUCCAGGUUCAGUAAGAAGAACAAGGACAGCAUAAAUCCUUACGUCUACCUGCCUUUUGGAUCUGGACCCCGAAAUUGCAUUGGCAUGAGGUUUGCUGUCAUGAAUAUGAAACUUGCUGCCGUCAGAGUCCUGCAGAACUUCUCUUUCAAACCUUGUAAAGAAACACAGAUCCCCUUGAAAAUAAGCAGUCAAGGACUUUUAAGACCAGAAAAACCUGUUGUUCUAAAGGUUGUGCCCAGAAGUGGAACCAUAAGUGGAGCCUGACUUUCCCUAAAGACCUGGGCUUUAUUCUUCAAGAAGCUGUGUCCCAGAAUUUCAGGGGGGUUGAUUUACUUUGUAGUAAAACUCAGAAAUAAAGAUGGGCUUCAUUUGUUGUACCUGCUGGA